GAUGAACGCUAGCGGCAGGCUUAAUACAUGCAAGACGAACGGCAAGUUGAGUAGCAAUACUUAACCUAGAGUGUCGCACGGGUGCGUAACACGUAUGCAACCUACCUAUAACAGGAGGAUAGCUCGGGGAAACUCGGAUUAACCCUCCAUAAUAUCAUUGACUGGCAUCAGUUGAUGAUUAAAACUCCGGUGGUUAUAGAUGGGCAUGCGUCUGAUUAGUUAGUUGGUGAGGUAACGGCUCACCAAGACGAUGAUCAGUAGGGGUAACUGAGAGGUUGAUCCCCCACACUGGCACUGACGAUACGGGCCAGACUCCUACGGGAGGCAGCAGUAGGGAAUAUUGGUGCAAUGGAUGCAAGUCUGAACCAGCCAUGCCGCGUGCAGGAAGAAGGCCUUCUGGGUUGUAAACUG
rnacentral:rRNA from 1 species